UACAUGCUGAAGAGUGAGAAGCUGAUGAUAAGAUAAGAAAAUAGGUUGGGUUUACUUUUUAAUGUAUCCUGAAAGGUGGGGUAUGAAAAGUUGGUCCCUAACAGUAGAAAUUAUAAGCUGCUGAACAUGAAGGAGAUAUGAUUGAAUUUGAAGGUAAAGAAUGGACAGGGUGGAGACAUGAUCACUGGUGAGGCAAGUAAGCAGAUGGCUACUCUUUCAAGAAACAGCAAAGAGAAGGAAAGCAACAGAGCAACCUUGAAAGGUGGCUGCACAAGCUGGCUCCAAUUUCUCUUUCCUGCAGAAAUCUAAGUAGUGUGCAUAAAGGAUGCACCUUGUUCUGAGCCCUUGAUAGUUAUGGAAAUAUGGAGAUGCAUUUAUUUGCAAAAAUCACAUAAACAAAGCAUACUUCAUUUGAGUCUGAAAUGAUACACUGAAGUGAUACCCUACAACAUUUUGCUGUGGUGUUUAAGAGGAGCCGAGUGGGCAAGUCUUACCACUGCAACGUGAGCUGAGUCUGCUUCUUUUUAUCCUUCAUAAUCUGCGUGAUGGUUUUCUUCUGCGAGAGCUCCGGAUCUUCACUUCUCUCCGCGCUGCCCAGCGCGCCCCCAGGCUGAGUUUCAGGCACCAGCUUGCGGUGGACCCGUGGACACAUUUCAUACAGCAACUCCCAGAAAGAUCUGAGCGGGCUCCGCUCUGAUUUCCUUCGGAAGAGCAGCUACAACUGCCUCCGUCCCUACAACCUGGAGACGCGAAUGACGCUUGCGGCCGAACAGCCUUGAUUCUGCUCACCUGGGCCAGGGAAGGGAGGCCCCCAGAGCAUUCUUUGCUCAGUCUUUGUACGCAGGGCUGAUUUAUUAUUUCUGGAGUAGUCCUACGGGGUGCUGAGGGCUGUACUUAGUGACCUGUGGACAGACGCCAUCGUAUCACACACUUGUCCAGAGUGCCCGGCUCCUGGGCUCACCAGCACCCAGGAUGCCGGAUCUCACGCCGUUUUGUAUCGGGGCUGCUCUGUAACAGGGGCACUAACUGGCCCAGAACUAGAAAAAAAGUUAUGCGUUCUCUGCGAUUUAGUGUUUGGUGACUUAAACGCGUGCGGCAGGCCUGACGAUCCCUCAUCUCUUAUACUGGGAAAGAGCCGUGUACAAUUGUUAAAAUGAAAAA